rnacentral:rRNA from 1 species
GAUGAACGCUGGCGGUCUGCUUAACACAUGCAAGUCGAACGGAAGUAGCAAUACUUUAGUGGCGGACGGGUGAGUAACACGUAAGAAUCUGCCUCCAGGACGGGAAAAACAGUUGGAAACGACUGCUAAUUCCCGAUCAGCCGAAAGGCAAAAAGAGUAUCGCCUGGAGAGGAGCUUGCGGCUGAUUAGCUAGUUGGUAUUGUAAGGGACUACCAAGGCUACGAUCAGUAGCUGGUCUGAGAGGAUGAGCAGCCACACUGGGACUGAGACACGGCCCAGAAUCCUACGGGAGGCAGCAGUGGGGAAUUUUCCGCAAUGGGCGCAAGCCUGACGGAGCAAGACCGCGUGGGGGAGGAAGGUUCUUGGAUUGUCAACCCCUUUUACCAGGGAUGAUAAUGACAGUACCUGGAGAAUAAGCUCCGGCUAACUCCGUGCCAGCAGCCGCCGUAACAC